rnacentral:rRNA from 1 species
CCUACGGGAGGCUGCAGUGAGGAAUAUUGGUCAAUGGGCGGGAGCCUGAACCAGCCAAGCCGCGUGAGGGAAGAAGGUACAGCGUAUCGUAAACCUCUUUUGUCAGGGAACAAAGGCGGGGACUAGUCCCCGGAUGAGGGUACCUGAAGAAAAAGCAUCGGCUCACUCCGCGCCAGCAGCCGCGGUAAUAGUGAGGAUGCGAGCGUUAUCCGGAUUUAUUGGGUUGAAAGGGUGCGCAGGCGGCCUGUUAAGUCAGCGGUAAAAGCCCGGGGCUGAACCCAGGCGAGCCGUUGAAACUGGCGGGCUGGAGGUGGAGAGAGGGAAGCGGAAUGCGAGGUGUAGCGGUGAAAUGCUGAGAUAUAGCGCAGAACACCGGUUGCGAAGGCAGCGCACCGGCUCCACACUGACGCUGAGGCACGAAAGCGUGGGUAUCGAACAGGAUUAGAUACCCUAGUAGUC